AAAGGUCAUGGUCAAGUUACAUUUAUUUUAAUAUUAUAGUCGUUUAGUAUUCUGUUCAAGUGUUGCGCCUGUUGAGUGGGCGGAGUUUAAUCGGAAGUCUCGCGAGUUUGGUGAAAAUAGCGUGAGAUCAGAUAUACGGCAAUGGAGAAAAAGAAGGAAGAAAUGCGGUCCAUGUUAGUAUUGUAAAUUCAUGCGGCAAGUUGGAUUAAAGCCAUCAAGCUAUAGAUUGAUAAUAUAGCUCUCAGCUGGUGAGCAGUUUGGCAUUUCAGAUGUGAUGGGCGGCCGAUGUUGUGUGAUCGCUUCAGAAGUUGCUGGAAUUAUAUGGUGAAUAUCAGCGCGUGCGUCAUUGCAGAACGUAAGUGUUUAUAUCAUAUUAUUCAGUCUAAUAAUCAUCGUUUGAUAUGCUGCUAGAUGCAUCAAUAAGAUAUUUCUUCAGUUAUAAGAGAACAGCUGUUAUAUUAUGCUUUUAUCAUAUGUUUUCGAUGUCUCUCGCGUUUAAUCAUGUGAAGUGAUAAUGACACAGCACUUUGUUGUACAAAAUGUAACAGAGACUAAUUGAGUUUAUUUGUUUCAUUAUAGAACCACACGUUUAUCCACGUUUGUCCAGCGGACUUUAAUCACACAAACCCAACACACACACUGAAUAUCGCAGCACACGAAGCUACCGGCCUCACUGUUAUCACCACAUCAUAUUAACCCUAUCAGUAUCAAACAAAGAUCCCUACUUACAUACCGUUUGUUCAAGUUCCAAAUGUGAUGACAUCACGUCUAAGGAUCGACGUCUGAAGAUAUCUGUGCCUUCCUUUCAUUAAGUGGACAUUCUCUGGAAACCUGGGACUUGUUGGGACUGAGUAUUCUCAAUAACACAUUUCACUGCCUUAAAUCAACAUUAUUGUAUCUUUUUAUUUAAAGAACAUUGUUGUUUUAUUGUUUUGGUUAUUUUGCGUAGGCCUACGCUGUUUUAUUGUGUCAUUUACAUUGUGUUAACAUUGUGAGAAAAUAAUUCAUUUUUUCAUUAAUACAUUGAGUUAAUUGGACACAUGACUCUGGCUUCUUUAAUCCUUUCCUAGUUACUGGACAUUAUUUGUGUAAAUAGUACUCUAAGGUGAUUUAGAACCGUAACAGUAAUCAGUGCAUACUACAGCAUUCAAUACAUUAAAUGGUCCUUCGAGCCGGAUCUAUAACCACUUUAGCAAUGAUGUCCAGAACUAGUGAGGGAGUUAUAGAGCCAGAGGUUGUACGCCCACGUAGAGUAAUAAGACGGCCAACACAUUUGCGUGAUUAUGAGGUUAGCUAUCCACAGAAACAGCUUGCAUUUGCAGAUGAGCAGUCUGAUAUGCUCAGUUGUAUGCGUGAACUGAGAGAGGAAAAUAGACGAAUGAGGCAAGACAUGCAACGCUUAUCUGAUAUGAUUGUUAACUCUUCUGUGUUAGCUUCCCAGGUUUCAUUAUCUGAUCAACAGCUUUUGAAUGAAGGAGCAGUGGUGUCAUCUACACCAAAGUUUAUUAGUAUGCAGGAGUCAGUUAAGGGCGAUGGAAACUCUAGCCAGACAGAACAUACUCCUUUGGUGCCACCUAGAGAUGAAUCCCUCCUUACAGUUCGCAGUCGUGAGCAAGAGCUCAUUGAAGAGCUUACAGACAGUCUACAGAGAGCAGGUCGGCUUAGUGAUAGUCCGCCUAAUUCAGGUAUGUCGACCCCUUCGUAUAAUGAUCCACAUAGUAGUAAGAAUGACUUGCCACGGUAUGAUCACUAUUAUGAUGCUAAUGUUCCUCUGCGGCCACCUCAUUUAUCUGAUAUUCGUCAGCAAUAUCCAGAUGACCCACCAGUGUUGCGGUCCACUAUGCCUCCUCAUGAUGUUUAUUAUCAUCCAGCAACGGAUCCUUACCAUCGCCGCUUAAAUGAGCAUCUGCAGAAGGAUGUCUUCACAGAUCGUUUCGAUCAUUCUCCAAAUGAUUGGAGGCAAGAGUACAGUCGAAAUAAUAGACCGUUACGUACAUCAGAUCAUUCUCACCAUUCCCUUGGAAAUUCUGAGCUUCCUCGUCCUGUGCAUUCACCCCCAAUGCAAUAUCGAGGGCCGACUCCUACAAUUCCCGAUUUCGGUCGGGAUGAUCCCCGAGAGUUUUCCCGUCUUAAGCUUGCAUUAAACAAUGUUCUUCCUGAAGACGCUUCUGAGUCGUUUAAGUUCCAAAUACUUAUGGACCACCUUAAGCUGGAAGACGCUUUACUUGUCGCUGACUCAUAUAGUCACAGUCGUACUCCAUUCAGUGACACUAUGAGAGCGCUCACUGAUAUGUAUGGGCAGCCACAUCAAUUGGCACUGCAAAGGAUCACUAAUCUGAUGGAUGGGCCCAAUAUCAGGAGCGGGGAUGUGAAGACUUUUAAGGCAUUUGCCCUUCGUGUCCGAGCACUGGUUGGAAUGUUAAAUCAGUUAGGUAGCACAGGUUGGACUGAACUGAAAUGUGGCUCACAUGUUUCUCGUCUCUUAGCUAAAUUGCCGUAUGACCUAAGAGCUAACUUCAAGAGAUUCAUUAACCCCCUUCAGACACCUAUUCCAACUCUGAUUGAUUUCGCAGAAUGGCUGGAAUAUGAGGUUCGCGUGCAGGUAGAAGGAACACAGUAUGGGUCCUAUUUUGAGCAUGCAAAACACAGUGUUCACAAAGACAAGCGAACUGGUUUUGUUCCCCGAAAGCCAACUACUGUCCUACAUGGUAAAGAGCAGAAAGUAGGAUCAGUAGAGCUACCAAAGACUGAAUGCAUGGACUCAGAAAGACCACAGGAGAAGCUGAAAAAAUAUUGUCCGUUCUGUAACACAAUUCAACACUAUAUGAAUCAGUGCUCUAACUUCAAACUCUUAACUAAAGAGCAAAUUGAAAGUUGGAUCAGAACAGGACAUAGAUGUUGGCGUUGCGGACGAGGGCAUUCUUCCUCUAAAUGUACGUUAAAGGCGAAAUGCAAACGGUGUGAAAGGAGGCAUCUUGAUGUUCUUCAUGAAGUCAAUGCCAACGUUGAUGUGAUGAGUAAAAGUAAUAACCGGACAUCGGAGGAAAGUUCAGUAAGCCCUACUUCUCAGGCCUUAUACUUGGAUCGACCUACGAGUAGCAGGCAAGUGCUACUGAAGUUAAUUCGAGUAAUCAUUCAGAAUGGGGAUAAGUCAUUAGAAACCUACGCUGUGCUAGAUGACGGAUCUGAGCGAACUAUUUUGUUGAAUGAAGCUGCUCAACGUCUAGACCUUCAGGGUGAAAUUGAAGAUCUGGCUCUGCGAACAGUGAGGCAGGAUGUCCAUACCAUUCAUGGAAGAUCAGUAUCUUUCUUUAUAGCCCCUGUUUCACACCCUGACAGAUCUUACCCAGUCAAGGGUGCAUUCACCGCAAAAGAGCUAGCCCUGGUUCAGCAUACUUACCCCAUCUCUGACUUGCAAAGAAGAUAUCACCAUCUCCGUGACUUACCUUUGCACGACAUCCAUGAAGCGCAGCCCUUGGUACUUAUCGGCUCAGAUUAUCCUCACUUGAUAACCCCUGUUGAGCCAGUGAGAUUAGGUCCUCCUGGAGGUCCAGCGGCGGUUCAUACAAAGCUCGGCUGGACAUUGCAAGGUCCCUCAAGGCUUAUUAAACCUCACUUGCAGGCUCAAGAAUGUUUAUUCAUUUCUUGUGUUUCUCCUGAAGCUGAGCUAUUCUGUCAAGUCGAAAAGCUUUGGCAACUGGAUACUCUUCCUUAUCAAUCUGAGAAAGUGGUCAGUCGAUCACGACAGGAUGCAGAAGCUAUUCGCCUCCUAGAGGAGAAAACCAUCAGGAUUGAUGUGAAUGGGGUAAAAAGGUACGCCACGCCUCUACUCUGGAAAGAGUUGCCUCCGCCUCUGAAUGCACCCAAGGAGGCUGUCAUGGCCCUGCUACGCAGCACAGAGCGAAAGUUAUCUAGAGAUCCUAGUAUGGCUGCCUCUUAUGAAUCAGAAAUUCAGAAACUGCUGCAGGCAGGUUACGUCACACCGUUGACAGCUGCAGAAUGUGAUCGGAGUUCCCAGUCAUGGUACAUACCACAUCAUAUGGUUCAUCACAAUGCAAAGAACCGUAUUGUCUUCAAUUGUUCUUUUGAGUACCAGGGUCAGUCUUUGAAUGAACAUCUCUUGCCCGGUCCUACCUUAAGUGCCAGCUUGUUGGGAGUUCUCAUCCGCUUUCGAGAACAUUCUGUGGCCAUCUGUAGUGAUGUGAAGGGUAUGUUCCAUCAAAUCCGUCUCCUUGAUGAAGAUAAACCCUUCCUUCGCUUUCUGUGGCGUCAUGGGAAUACAUCUGAACCGGCCAUUGUGUAUCAGUGGCAAGUUCUGCCAUUUGGCACUACGUGUAGCCCUUGUUGUGCUACUUACGCACUUCAGUCCCAUGCCAAGGUGGAUCUCGAAGGUACUGAUGAAGUACGUCAAACGGUGGAGCGUAGCUUCUAUGUUGACAAUUGUCUUAAGAGUGUCUCUACUGAAGCCCAAGCUAUAGAGCUGGUAAACCGAUUGCAGGGCCAUCUUAUGAACGGUGGAUUCGAAUUGAGGCAAUGGGCCAGUAACAUCCCUGAAGUUAUUCACCACCUUCCUGCUGAGUUAAAGUCAAAGAGUGGGGAGAUUUGGCUAAGUCAAGAAAUGACCAACCCUCAGGAGAAUGCUCUUGGAUUGAUAUGGCAAUGUAGAUCAGACACAUUGGUAUACAAAUCGUACCAGAAAGAUGAAGGUGAAAUUACAAUGCGGAGCAUCUAUCGCACUUUAGCCAAGCUUUAUGACCCCCUUGGAUAUCUCAUUCCGUAUACCACCAGAGCCAAAAUUGUUGUGCAGUUGUUGUGGGAUAAAAAACGAGGAUGGGAUGAUCCUAAUUUACCAUUGGGCCUACUAGACAUUUGGCAUCAGUGGGAGAGCGAGCUGCCACAAUUGUCUCAGAUCCACCUACCAAGAUGCUACAGUUCCAGCCUUCAGUAUCCUGUCAAGAGCCGCAGUGUUCAUGUGUUUUGUGAUGCUUCUGAAAAGGCAUACGGCUCUGUAGCAUACUUGUGCUCUGAAGACAGUCAGGGUAAUAUGCAUGUUGCCUUCAUGGCAGCAAGGUCAAGAGUCGCUCCACGGAAACAAAUCUCCAUAGCUCGUUUAGAGCUUUGUGCUGCAUUGACAGGAGCACAACUAGGAGACGUCUUGAAGAAAGAGCUGACCUUAGAUAUCUCCAAAUUCAUCUAUUGGUCUGACUCCACUACAGUUCUUUCUUGGCUGCAGUCUGAUUCUUGCAGAUACCGAGUGUUUGUAGGAGUUAGAGUCACCGAAAUCCAAGAGUUGUCUGACCCUGGAGCUUGGCGCUAUGUCGAUUCAGCAGCCAAUCCUGCUGAUGAUAUCACGCGUGGGUUAUCACUGGUUCAACUAGCUAAAGAAACACGAUGGAAACAAGGACCAGCCUUCUUAAUGCAGUCUAGCAGUUGUUGGCCUAAGCCACCAGAAGGACAGGCCCCUGAAGAAGUUCAGGAACUUAAGAAAUCUGUGUUUUGCGGCUCAUUGACUGAACAUAAACUGCAAGUUGAACCUGAUCCCAAUAAAUUUAGUAGCUAUCCUGAUUUACUAGAGGCUACAGCACGAUUCCUUCAUGGGGCGGCUGAUAACACUGAUUCACUCAGUGCAGAUGCGUUUCAGAAGGCAGAAUUGUCUAUCCUUAGACAAUGUCAGAUGCAUGACUUUCCUGACGAAUUUGCUUUACUCAAGGGAGGAAAAGACAUUUCUGUACAUAGCCGACUCAUUAAGCUUGCUCCUGAAUAUGACAAAGAACAAGACUUGAUUAGAGUAGGAGGACGACUUCGUAGGUGCCAUGGAUUGAGUGAUGCAGUUCUACACCCUAUUGUUCUGUCACAAGAUCAUCCAGUAGUUAAACUUCUAAUAAAGCAUUAUGAUGAUCAACUGCACCACCCGGGAGCUGGCAGGGUGUAUGCUGAGCUGCGGCGUAAGUUUUGGAUUUUGCGAGGAAGAGAGGCAAUUAAAAGACAUCAGCACCACUGUCUUGAUUGUAAUAAAUGGAGAGGCAAACCAAAGAUUCCCAGAAUGUCAGACUUACCCACAUCAAGUCUGAGGUUAUGUAGACCCCCCUUUUACUCCACCGGAGUAGAUUGUUUUGGACCACUGUUAGUGAAGGUUGGCCGCCGUACUGAGAAAAGGUGGGGUGUCGUAUACAAGUGCCUCACUACUCGAGCUGUACAUCUUGAUCUGUUGGAUCACAUGGAUGGAGAUUCAUUCCUGCUGUCUCUCAGGCGUUUUAUUGCCCGAAGAGGGAAACCCUAUGAGAUUCUCUCUGAUCAGGGAACAAAUUUUCGAGGUGGAUGUAAAGAGCUGGAGGACACUUUCUCCCAUAUGCAGACCAGCAUUAGAGACCAGCUAGCAAAGGAACAAAUCAGAUUCAAGUUUAAUCCACCCAGUGCGCCUCAUUUCGGCGGCUCAUGGGAAAGAGAAGUGAGGUCUGUAAAGACAGCCUUAAGAAUCACCUUAGGUGCUCAGACCGUUACUGAGGAGGUAUUGAGAACCAUCUUGAUCGAGGUGGAGGGCAUUCUUAAUUCUAGACCCUUGGGUUAUGUCUCUAGCGACAUAGCAGAUCCAGACCCAGUAACGCCAAAUUCUUUACUGAUGGGGCGGCCUGACUCCUCCUUGCCCCAAGUUGUCUAUUCAGACCAUGAAUUACUCAGUAGAAAAAGAUGGAGACAUAGUCAGGUUCUGAGUGAUCAUUUUUGGAAGCAUUUUAUUCACGACUUCCUACCCACAUUGCAGUCAAGGCAGAAAUGGUACAGAGAGAAAGAGAAUAUUGCAGUUGGCACUGUAGUACUCAUUGUUGAUGAGCAGAUCCCAAGAGCGCUCUGGAGAGUUGGUACUGUCUCUGCUGUCAUUCCUAGUUCAGAUGGGAGAGUCAGAACAGCAGUGGUCAAAGUGAAAGAUCAAACGUACACAAGACCAGUAGCUAAGUUGAUUGAAUUGCCUUCCUUACCCCCAGACACAGAAAGUUCCUUAUAGACCCUACUAAUGGCAAAUUUGCAUACCAAAUUUGGGGGCGGCUGUGCAAAAGGUCAUGGUCAAGUUACAUUUAUUUUAAUAUUAUAGUCGUUUAGUAUUCUGUUCAAGUGUUGCGCCUGUUGAGUGGGCGGAGUUUAAUCGGAAGUCUCGCGAGUUUGGUGAAAAUAGCGUGAGAUCAGAUAUACGGCAAUGGAGAAAAAGAAGGAAGAAAUGCGGUCCAUGUUAGUAUUGUAAAUUCAUGCGGCAAGUUGGAUUAAAGCCAUCAAGCUAUAGAUUGAUAAUAUAGCUCUCAGCUGGUGAGCAGUUUGGCAUUUCAGAUGUGAUGGGCGGCCGAUGUUGUGUGAUCGCUUCAGAAGUUGCUGGAAUUAUAUGGUGAAUAUCAGCGCGUGCGUCAUUGCAGAACAACCACACGUUUAUCCACGUUUGUCCAGCGGACUUUAAUCACACAAACCCAACACACACACUGAAUAUCGCAGCACACGAAGCUACCGGCCUCACUGUUAUCACCACAUCAUAUUAACCCUAUCAGUAUCAAACAAAGAUCCCUACUAACAUACCGUUUGUUCAAGUUCCAAAUGUGAUGACAUCACGUCUGAGGAUCGACGUCUGAAGAUAUCUGUGCCUUCCUUUCAUUAAGUGGACAUUCUCUGGAAACCUGGGACUUGUUGGGACUGAGUAUUCUCAAUAACACAUUUCACUGCCUUAAAUCAACAUUAUUGUAUCUUUUUAUUUAAAGAACAUUGUUGUUUUAUUGUUUUGGUUAUUUUGCGUAGGCCUACGCUGUUUUAUUGUGUCAUUUACAUUGUGUUAACAUUGUGAGAAAAUAAUUCAUUUUUUCAUUAAUACAUUGAGUUAAUUGGA